AUUCUCUCUCUCACUCCCUCUCUGUCCCUAGUCCUGCUCACAGUCUUCUUUUGCUCAAAAUAAGUAAAUAAACUUUUAAAUAAAAUUGUUGUUCUGUUUUAUAUUCCUAUCAGCACUGUAUGAGAAUUUAAGUUUCUCCAUAUCAUUGCCAAUAGUGGGGAUGGUUAGUCUUUUGAAAUUUUCACCCAUUUAAAUAAAUGUGUAGCAGUAUCUCACUGUGGUUUUAGUUGCAUUUCUCUGAUGUUCCAUGAUGUUGAGCAUUUUUUCCCCAUUUAUUUGCAACCUGUAUGUCUUCCUUGGUAAAAUAUCUAUUCAUUUCUUUUGCUUAUUUUUUAUUUUUUAAAUUUUAUUUUGUUUUAAGUAUUCUCUUCCCCCAAUGUGGGGCUUGAACUCACAACCCUGAGAUCAAGAGUCGCACGCUCUACUGACUGAGCCAGCCAGCCACCCCAAAUUUUGCUUAUUUUUGAAAGUGAAUUUUGGCUGUUUCUCUUUUUGUUAACAGAUAAGAGUGAAACAACAAAAACUUAUGUUAAGAACCUCAUUCAUUUUUCAUUGAUGUGACUUGUUUGCUGUCAGCCAUACUGUCUUUGAAUACCAGGAGAAUAUUUUCAAAAUGUUGUGCUGUACACAGUGCAGUGACCACAUAUAGCAUAUACUUUUAAGUUUUAUCUCCUUAUUAGUAUAUUCUCCAUCAUAUUUUUAGGUGUAGAUAUUCAACAGUACAAUAAAUCAAGCCAUGAUUUGUAGUGUUCAUUUUGUCAAUUUUCCUGGUGUAAAUACUGUCAGCAUGACCAAUUUAAAAACAUCAGUGGAAAAGGCAGUUGGGAAAAUGGAACUGGGAAGAAUUGCCAGUAGCCUACUGUUGUAUUCUAUUUCUACCAUACCGAUAGAAUGCUGCAAUUAACCCAAGAACAUAAAAAUAAUAAAAUGUAGUAUAAUGACUAGGAAAUCAGUAGUUUUUAUAUUUGAUUUUUAAAACAGUGGAGGUAUAUUGACUUAAACUGUGCAUAACUUUUUUUGUUUUGUUUUUGUUUUAGAGAGAGAAAGAGAAUGAGAACGGGGGAGUAGGGCAGAGGGAGAGAGAGAGAGAAAGAGAAAGAAUCCCAAGCAGGCUCCACACAGAGCACGGACCCGCAUGCAGGGCUUGAUCCCACAACCCUGGGAUCAUGACCUGAGCUGAAAUCACGAGUCAGACACCAACCGAUUGAGCCACCCAGGUACCCAAACUACACAUACUUAACAUGUACAUUUUGAUGUUCUGAUUCAUGCUUACACCCUGAAACCAAAAAUAUCCUCCUUCCUUUUAAAAUUCAUCCUUCUCGCGGGGCCUGGGUGGCUCAGUCAGUUAAGUGUCUUCGACUCAGGUCGUGAUCUCUCAAUCUGUGAGUUCCAGACCUGCGUGGCUCUGUGCUGACAGCUCAGAGCCUGGAGACUGCUUCAGAUUCUCUCUCUGGCUCUCUCUACCCCUCCCCUGCUUGCACUCUAUCCUCUCUCAAAUAUAAACAUAAAAAAAAUAAUAAGAUAAAAUAAAAUUCAUCCUUGUCAACACAUAAAAUUACUGAUACAGCGACACCGUCUAUCUUUGGUUAUGGUUAUUUUCAAAUAUUUACAAGGGGCUCCUGGAUGAUUCAGUUGUUAGAGCAUGUGACUCUUCAUCUCAGGGUUGUGAGCCUCACAUUGAGCAUAGAGCUUACAUUAAAAAUAUAUAUAAGUGUACACACACUCACGAAGGAAAUGACAAUAUUAGAAGCCAGGUGAACCCUUCUCCAAUUUUCCACCAUUAUUUAUCAUUUCAUGGCUGUUCUUGCUUUGUCUAUCCCUGUGUAUACAAGUGGGUUAGUUUACAUAUUUUUCCAGACAUUGUUAUCAUUUAAUGCAUAAUCUCUUCAGAAUGCAUUUUUAAAAUGUAAGGUCUCCUUUAUAAGCCAGUAGUUACCACAAAAAUAUGUUUUAUCAAUGUUCAGUCAUCUCAAAAUGUGUUCUUUUUAAAUUUUUAAUGUUUUUAUUUUUGAGAGAGAGAGAGAGACAGAGCAUGAGUGGGAAGGGGCAGAGAGAGAGGGAGACACAGAAUCCGAAGCCGGCUCCAGGCUCUGAGCUGUCAGCACACAGCCUGAUGUGGGGCUUGAACUCAUGAACCACAAGAUAAUGACCUGACCCAAAAUCAGAUGCUUAACUGACUGAGCCACCCGGGUGCCCCAAAAUGUGUUUGUUUCUAAGUCAGAUUAAUUGCAAUCAGAAUCCAAUAUACAUCCUUACAAUUUUCAGUAGCUGUGUCUCAGAAGUCUUUUAACUUUCAGGGUCUGCUUACCUUUUUAAAUUCUUAUUUGUUGAUGUUGCUGGGGCAUUUUCAUUAAAAUUUGGUAUGUUCUAGGUGUGGCUUAUGGAGUCUCUGACACUGUCCAGCUGAUCCCCCUCACCCGUGAUGUGUACACUAAAUAGUGAUGAGACAGACGAUGAGGUGAUGAAGUUUUAGAGUGAUGGGGGGUUCAUGAGGUCUGGAGAAAGAAUUCUUGAAGAUGUCUUUUGUACAAAAAGGUGAUUUUAUUAAAGCACAAGGACAGGACCCGUGGGCAGGAAGAGCUGCACUGCGGUUGUGGGGGUGAGUGUUUUAUGGAGUCAGGGGAGAUAAAGUCCAGAGGGUAGAUAAAGUCAAGAAGGAGUUUCCAAAGAGACUUUCACAUGCUGAAGACUUAUUGGAAGCCUAGCUCUUGUCAAGCUAAGGUUGUUUUUCUCUCUAGCAAGGCAUUAACAUUAAGACAGUAGGAAGUUCCUGGACUUUAGGCUACGAUGGGAUUGCCUUUUUCUGGUAAAAUGGUGGAGACUCUUAUCAGUUUAUCCAUGUUUUUGUUUGUUUGUUUGGUUUGUUUGUUUUGUCCUUUCCUGUUUUGGGGCAGCUGGGAGUGUCCAAGGAAUAUCAUUCAUGUCCCACCUGGGGAGGGGGUGUGUGCUAACUUGUACUUUGCCCUCAGCUUGCUUCAUGCUCCUUCAUCACAGGUAUGUCAUGUAAAGACAAAUAUAAAUUAAAAAUAAGAGGCUUAAUUCUCUUUUGAAAAUGAGGUGUUUGGGGCACCUGAUGGACUUAGUUGGUUAAGCAUCUGACUUCAGCUCAGGUCAUGAUUUCACAGUUGAUGAGUUUGAACCCCACAUCGGGCUCUGUGCUAACAGCUCAGAGCCUGGAGCCUGCUUACUUCAGAUUCUGUGUCUUCCUCUCUCUCUCUGCUCCUCCCUAACUCGUGCUCUGUCUCUCUCUUGCUCGCUCUCAAAAAUAAACAUUAAAAAAAAGAAAGAAAGACAAUAGGGUGUUUCUACUCCCCUCCCUUUCCUCAUUUACCUUAGAAAACUUGUUAAUUCUGCAUCUCUUUAAGGUAUAUCCCUUUGAAAGAUAGGUCUCUCCCUUUUAUUCCACCUUUAUGAACAGAAAUGUCUUUCUCAAAUAUCUGUGGCCACCUCUUUAAAAUAAAAACAGGGGGAAAUGAGGGGUGGUAAUAGGAAGCUUUUGGUUUAAGUUGUAACCAAGUACAUGAACACAUACGUUUGAAAUAUGUGCAGCUUAUUUUAUGCAAUUGUACCAAAACGAAACUGCUUAAAAAUAUAUAAAAACUUGUACCUUUCUAGUCACUCCACUACAUUUAUUUUCUGUGUUCUUGAGGUUAUUUGUGGCCACUGGAUUGCUAUGGUGGAAAAAAAGAUAGAUUAGCAUACUCCUGGCACCUUGGAACUCCAGCUACAGUGAUAUCACACUGGCGGUUUUCACGUGGCCAUGGUGGGAAUAUUUACACUGGGGAAACUGCAAACACUACAAAUGAUGGCUUGAUUUAUUUUAUUGUUAGGUAUUUAGACUUAUGUGAUGGAGAACAUGUUAAUGCAUAUUAAACUCUAAGGUAUA